GAGAAAGACUUACCAGCCGACGACACUUAAUCAUUAAUGUUUUCUUCCCUCCAAACAAGUAAAGCAAACACUCUGUAGUCUGUGGUGCUUCAAAACUCACCUCUACUACUUCUCAGAGAAACACACUGAUCAAGCCAUGAAGCUCUACUUGUAGUUAUCUGUUUGCUUCAAGCUAGACUAUGUUCAUUGAGGGUUGCUCUUAAAAACUUUGAUUUUUAUAGUUGUUUGUUCUGUGUGUGUGCGCGCCCUUUCUUUUUUGUCUCCUGAGAACGCUUAGAAGUUUCGUUCUUUAUCUUUUCUGUUUCUUUUUGUUUCCCUGUUUUCAUUAUUGAGUUUUCGAUUAGCCUUGCUUUUAUGUUCAGUAUUCUCAGUGUAAAACUAGAUUUUGUUCAUUAAGCUUUUCUCUUAAAUAUUUUCUGAAAUAUUUUGUUAUAUAAUGUUGUCCACUUCUUUUUCUUUCCUUUCCCCUGCCCCCUAGGCUUGUAGCUUUACUUGAGAAGGAAAAAAAAAAAAAAAGAGAGAGAGAGAGAGAGUGUGUGCCUGUGUGUGUGUUCAAGUGUUUAUAUGCAAUGGCUGAAGAAAUAGCUAUCAGUACUGCUGCGGGACUUGCAUCAACAGCUGCAGAGUCAGCAUAUGAUUUGCUUAAACAGCCGAUAUCUUAUGUGUUCAAGCACCAGAGCUAUAUCAACAAACUCAAAAAACAAGUUGAGGAUCUCAGAAAUAAAAGAGAAACAGUAGAAAAACCUGUAGAGUCGGCUGAAAGACAGGGGGAAGAGAUUUAUAAAGCUGUUAAGAAAUGGCUGAGUGAUGUAGAUGAGUUCACUGAAAGGGUAGAAAGGACCAUCAUUGAGGACGAGGAUAAAGCAAACAAGGGCGGCUGUUUCAAAAUGGGAUCAUGUCCUAAUUUGAUUCAACGUUACAAGCUUGGAAAGGAAGCAAUGAAAGCCACAAUGGAUGGUGCCAAUUUGCUGGGGAAAGGCAAUUUUAGUAGUGUUUCCUACCGUCCUGCUCUGCAGAAGACAGAAUCCAUGUAUGUUAGAGACUAUGAGACGUUUGAUUCUAGAAAGCAAGCUUUUCAGGAAAUUAUGGAGGCAUUGCAGGAUGUUAAUAUUAACAUGAUUGGGGUAUAUGGGAUGGGAGGUGUGGGCAAAACCACACUGGUCAAAAAAGUAGCAUGGGAAGCAAAGAAAAACAAGUUAUUUGAUGAGGUGGUCAUCGCUGAGGCAACACAAACUCCAGACUACAAAAGAAUUCAAGAAAAAGUUGCUUCUGAGUUAGGACUGGAAAUUAGGCAGGAGGGUGAAUAUCAGAGAAGUGGUCUCCUACGUGAGAGGAUAAAGAAGGAGAAAAAUUUACUAAUAAUUUUAGAUAAUAUUUGGACAAAACUUGACUUGGAUGAAAUUGGAAUUCCUUUCGGUGGUGUUGGGAGAGAAAAAGAUGAGAAGAUCAGGCCAUGCAUAAAACUUGACUUGGAUGCAGUUGGAAUUUCAUUCGGUUGUGUUGAGAGAGAAAAAGAUGAGAAGACCAGGCCAUGCACUAUAUUGUUAACUUCUAGAAAUCGGGAUUUAUUAAGCAAAGAUAUGAAGACUCAGAAAGACAUAUUCAUUGGUCCUCUAUCUUACGGAGACGCAUGGAAUUUGUUUCGCAAGAUUGUGGGUGAUGCUGCUGAAAGCUCUGAUUUUCGUCCUGUAGGAGAUAAGAUUGUUAAGAAAUGUGGCGGUUUGCCAAUAGCAAUUUCACUAAUUGCAAAUGCAUUGAAAAAUGAGAGUCUUCACUCCUGGGAAGAUGCCUUGGCUCAACUACAAAGGUCUAAUCCAACACAUAUUCUAGGUAUGGAUGAAACUUUGUAUUCUACCAUGGAGGUGAGUUACAAAUUUCUGAAAAAUGAGGAAGCUAAAUCAUUAUUUCUUCUUUGUGCUCUCUACAAUGCUGGUAAUAGUGUGUUUAUUGAUGACCUAUUAAAAUACAGUAUGGGUUGGAAUUUGUUUGGAGAUGUUUAUACAUUGGAAGAAGGAAGGAAUAGGUUGCACAGGUUGAUAGAUCAUCUCAAAGCUUCUUGUUUAUUGGAGGAUGGUACCUAUGACAAUUCAGUUAAAAUGCAUGACAUUAUUCAUGUUGUUGCUGUAUCAAUAGCAGCAACGGAGAAGUUGAUGUUUAAUAUUCAAAAUGUCACUGGCUUGAAAGAUGUUUUGGGGGGGAGAAUAUCAAAAGAUUCAACUGCUAUAUCUUUGCCCUAUAAAAAUAUCAACGAUGAUCUUCCUGAACGGUUAGAAUAUCCAAAACUGGAGUUGUUCUUCCUAUUUUGUAAAAAUCGCUCUCCACAAAUUGCAGAUGCUUUUUUCGACAAGAUGAAAGAACUCAGAGUUUUAAGUGCCUACGGAGUGCAAUUCUUGCCAUUACCUUCAUCCAUUUCUUUCCUAAAAAACCUUCAAACAUUGUCUCUGAAAUCCUGCACAUUUGGGAAUAUAAGAAUACUUGGAGAACUAAGUAAAUUAGCAUUUCUUAGCUUGGUUGGGUCUAAUAUCGAAGAGUUGCCUGUAGAAAUUGGACAAUUGACUCAGUUGAAGUUGUUAGAUUUGAGCAAUUGUUUAAACCUUAAAUACAUUGCCACAAAUGUCAUAUCCUCCUUGUCUCAAUUAGAAGAAUUAUAUAUGGGCAAUAGCUUUGUUCAAUGGGAAGUUGAAGGAGUCGAUAAUCAAGGACGAAGAAAUGCUAGUCUUGAAGAGUUGAAGCAGUUGUCUAACCUAACAACUUUACAUCUUCAUAUUCAAGAUGCUCGAGUUAUGCCACAAGACCUAUUCUUCAAGAAACUGAAAAGCUAUAAAAUAUUUAUAGGAGAUAAAUGGAAGUGGCCUAUUAAAUUUGAUCUUUCAACUUCAAGAAUGUUGAAACUCAAGAUCGAUGUUAGUAUUCAUUUGCAACAUGGGGUUAAAAGUUUGUUGAAGAUGACCAAAGUUCUCUCUCUAGAAGGAAUGAGUGGUGUUAGAAAUGUUAUUUAUGAACUCAGUGUGGAUGGUUUUCCACAUUUAAAGCAUCUGCAUGUAAAAAAUGAUCUUGAGCUUUUAUAUAUCAUUAACUCAGUUGUUUGGAAACUAGUCUUUCCCAACUUGGAGUCCUUGAUUCUUGGUAAUCUGAUUAAACUGGAGAAUGUAUGUCAUGGUCAACUCAAUGUAGGGUCUUUCAGAAAAUUAAGGAUCAUAAAAAUAGUAAAAUGUGAUAGAUUGGAGUAUCUCUUUGCAUUCUUCAUAGCAAAAAGCCUUAUGCAGCUACAAGAAAUUGAAGUGACUGAUUGUAAGAACCUAAAAGAGAUUUUUGGUGAAGAAAAUAAUGACCAUGGUGAUGAAAUUGAAACAAAUAAUCAGACUGAGCUCAAUCAUUUGUGUUCUUUGAAACUACAACGUCUACUCAAAUUCAUAACGAUCAGCUCUGACAUGAGGGUUGCUUUUCCAAGUUUGGAGAAGAUGGUGCUCUUGCACUUGUAUAACUUGCAGCUGAUAUGGCAAAAACAAAAAGUCCAUGUGGAUUCCUUUUGCAAACUAAAAGUAGUGAGAGUUGAAUUCUGUUUAAAGUUAUUGUCUAUUAUUCCAUCUAAUACUCAAGGACAUCUCACCUUUCACAAUUUAGAGAGUUUGAAAGCUAGUGGUUGUUUGAGUAUGAAAAGUCUCUUUCCAGUUUCUACCGCUACUGGUCUCGUGCAACUUAAAGAGCUGUUGAUAUACUUUUGUGGGUUGGAGAAAAUUGUUUCUGAGGAGGAAGUUAAUGGGGCCCCAAUAUUUUUGUUUCCACAAUUAACAGACAUCUGCCUUUUCAAUUUACAGGAACUGAAAUGUUUCUACCCACGGUUGCAUGCAGUAGAGUGGCCAAUGUUAAAAUUUUUGGCUGUGCAUGGAUGCAAGAACAUAAAUUUAUAUGCUUCUGAAUUUCCUAGUUUUCAAGCCAUAGAUGGGGAGAGGCAGCCUGCCCUUUUUUUGUUAGAAAAGGUCAUGCCGAAUUUGGAAAUGUUGGGAUUAGACGCACAUGACUUCAGAUUGACAUUCCUCCACCCUGAAAUAGUUGAGAGCUUUGGCAAGCUUAAAAUACUUUGGCUGUCCACUUUUGCUGAUGAAUUGGUUGCUUCUUUGUUCGAUUUCCUUAAAAAAUUAAAUUGUUUGGAGUCACUUGCUUUUUUUGAUAGUAGUUUCAAAGAGCUAUUCCCCUAUGAACAAGGACAUCUAUGGAAACAGGAUUUUCUAGGGAACACAUUUCUUCCAAAUCUUCAAAAGCUGGAAGUGCACAGAUGUCAUUGUUUGACAAUUUUAAUGUCGUCUGCAAUGUCUUUCAAAAAUCUUGAAACUCUAGAAGUAUACAAUUGCGAUGGAUUAGCCAAGGUACUAACAAGUGAAGCAACCAAAACUCUUGUCAAUCUCACAACAAUGAGAAUCAGAGAGUGCAAGCUGUUGACAGAGGUAAUAGCGAACGAGGGAGGCAAAGAAGAAGAGAUUGUUUUUGGCCAAUUGAAAGUUCUGGAGCUUCACUGUUUAUCAAGCCUUGCAUUCUUCUGCUCAGCUAAUUAUUCCUUCAAAUUCCCCUGUUUGGAGCAAGUUAUUGUGAGUCAAUGCCCAAAAUUGAAUGUCUUUUUGUAAGGAGUUUUAAGCACACCAUUGUUAAAGAAAGUAUAAUUGACUGAACCAGAGGAUAAUGUAGAAUAUUUUUGGAAGGAUGAUCUCAAUUCUACUAUUCAGCAAAUAUUUACAGACAUGGUUGGCUUCCGUAACCUUGAACAUUUGACACUCUCAGAAUUCCCUAGCAUGAAAGAAAAAUUAUGGAAUGGCCAGUUCCUAAUGGACAUAUUUUGGAAUUUAAAGUCGCUAGUGGUGGAUAAAGUUUCAAUUAUAUCAAGUGGUAUUUCAUUGAAUGUGUUAUGCCACUUCAAAAAUCUGGAAUUGUUAGAGGUAAAAAGUUGUGAGUCACUAGAACAGGUGUUUGAUUUGGAGGUAAAUCAUCAAGAAAUUUUGGGCUUAAAGAAAUUCAGAUCAUUGAAAAUUGACAAUUGUAACAGCUUGAAAUAUAUAUCGACUCCAUCUGUAUUAUUGGGCCUUGUUCAACUCAAAGAGAUAGAAGUGAAAAACUGUGCUUUGAUAGAAGAAAUCAUCAAAAGCGAUGGGGAGAAAGAUGCGGGAAGUGAUAAAAUUAUAAUUCCUCUAUUGAACUCUAUCAUGUUUAAGUCAUUGCCUAACUUGACAAGCUUCUAUUCAGGAAGUAAAAUUUUGGAAUUUCCUCCCUUACAAACUAUUAUUGUUAAGGACUGUCGAAAGAUCUACAUGAAGGAGCUCAGUAUUCAUUUUUCAUCCCUUUUCACUGUUAAGGUUGUAUUACCCAGCUUGGAAACAUCUUCUUGCUUCCAGAAUUUAACAAUCUUGGUUAUCGAUGGCUUUGAUCAUUUGCAAUAUCUUUUCCCAUCUUCUAUGGUGAAAAGUCUUUUCAAACUAAGGAAGCUUAAGAUAUCUACAUGUAUGUUAAUGGAAAGAGUAAUAGAUGAAGAUGAAGGGAGAGCAGAAAUGAUGUUGUUUCCUAAACUGUACCAGCUAAAGCUUAGAGAUCUUCCGAAACUCACAACAUUCUGCAACUCCACAGCAAAUUAUGUUGAAAUGUCUUCCUUAUUCAGACUCUGGAUUGAUAAUUGCCUGACAUUGAAACAUUCAUCUCCAGUUAUGUAUGUGGUGAUAUGACAUUAUCAAGCAAAGAACCUGAAGGAAUGAAUGCAAAGGAUAACUCUACUCACGUGCUAUCUCUUUUUGAUCAGAAGGUAAGACUACCUAGUUUGGAGAGAUUGCAAAUUAGCUAUGCUGAUCAGUUGGUAAAAUUAUGGAACAAUCAAGUCUUCGUGGAUUCCUUCAAUAAAUUAAAUCGCUUGUUUCUACGAUUUUGUAAAAAUCUUGCAAGUGUUUUUCCAUCUAACAUGCUUGGGAAGCACCAGAAACUGGAUUUCCUGGGAGUACAAAAUUGUGAUUCAGUUGAGGAGAUAUUUGAAGUGCUCAAGAAAAGGUCUAGUAUGAUGGAGGAAAUUGUUGCUGAGGGGGAAACAGUCCCCAGGUUUGUAUUCUCCAAAUUAACCCACCUGUCUCUAGAGAUGCUACCCAGUCUCAAGAGUUUCUACCCAGAUAUGCAUAUUUCAGAAUGGCCAAUUUUGGAAGAUUCGAAGGUAUAUGGUUGUAAUAAUGUGGAGAUCCUUGCUUCAGAAUUAUUGAGCAUCCCAGGAAGUCAUGGAGACAGUCAACAACCACUGUUCUUCGUUUACAAGGAUGCAUUCCCUAGCUUGGAAAUACUAGAGUUGUGUGGAAUGCCCAGGUUAAAGCAUCUAUGGAGAGGAAAUUUUCAGCCUUGCAAUGCUUUUCAAAAUCACCAGACUCUGAAAGUAUCAGAAUGUGACAGUUUAGAAAAUUCAUGGUCCUCAUCAUUGACUUUCCAGAACUUGACAACUCUGCAAGUUUCAAAGUGUGAUGGAUUGAGAUAUUUACUGACCCCCUCAAAAACUAAAACUUUGGGUCAACUUACAAGAAUGAAUGUAUCUGAUUGCAAACAGAUGGAGGAAAUUAUAACACAUUUGGGAGAUGAAGUAAUGGGGAAUUCAAUUGUUUUCAGCAAAUUGGGUUGUUUGGAACUUCACUGCUUGUCCAGCCUUAAAAGCUUCUGUUGUGGGGAUUAUUCUCUAGAAUUCUUAUCCUUGAAAAAAGUAAUUGUUAGGCAAUGCUUGGAGAUGGAGACUUUUUGUCAUGGAGUUUUGAGUACACCAAGGCUUACAAGACUACAGUUGACAGAAGGAGGAGAGGAUGAAGUAGAAGAAUGUUGGGAAGGCAACCUUAAUUCCACCAUACAGUAUUUGUACAAUAAUACGAAACUGCGGAGCUUCAAAGAAGAUUGAGGUCAUUCCUAUAAAUAGUUUGCGAUAGACCAUGGCUUCAUUUCCUCCGGUUGAAGAGGAACUUUGUUUCUGCCAUCUUAACUGAUUUGAUCCUCACAUUCUGUUGAAUGUGGAGUGCCCCCUGUUUACACAUUUUGUCCAGUUGAAGGUAGGCCGUGCAAUGCUGAGUAUAAGAUUUUUGGUUUUCACUUUAACACUCUGCUUUACUUGAUGCUGUUUCAUUAAUUUUACCAGGUAUAUAUCAUAUUUUAUAAUUGAAAUUUGUACGUUCUUUAGAUCUCUUAAGGGAGUCCUAAGUAGAAAGAUAAUGUCACAAUAACUGAUAUAAUAAUUGCAUCGUUAUUGGUUGAAGAGUGAGCUAUUUUACUUCUGAUGUUAUCAUGAAAGUAUUUAGUUUGAACAA